GUGGGGAAUAUUGCACAAUGGGGGAAACCCUGAUGCAGCCAUGCCGCGUGUGUGAAGAAGGCCUUCGGGUUGUAAAGCACUUUCAGUAGGGAGGAAAGGGUGAGUCUUAAUACGGCUCAUCUGUGACGUUACCUACAGAAGAAGGACCGGCUAACUCCGUGCCAGCAGCCGCGGUAAUACGGAGGGUCCGAGCGUUAAUCGGAAUUACUGGGCGUAAAGCGUGCGCAGGCGGUUUGUUAAGCGAGAUGUGAAAGCCCUGGGCUCAACCUAGGAAUAGCAUUUCGAACUGGCGAACUAGAGUCUUGUAGAGGGGGGUAGAAUUCCAGGUGUAGCGGUGAAAUGCGUAGAGAUCUGGAGGAAUACCGGUGGCGAAGGCGGCCCCCUGGACAAAGACUGACGCUCAUGCACGAAAGCGUGGGGAGCAAACAGGAUUAGAAACCCUAGUAGUCC
rnacentral:rRNA from 1 species